UGGCUCAGGAUGAACGCUAGCGGCAGGCUUAACACAUGCAAGUCGAGGGGUAUUGGUUUUCGGACCAAGAGACCGGCGCACGGGUGCGUAACGCGUAUGCAAUCUACCUUUGCAGAGGGAUAGCCCAGAGAAAUUUGGAUUAAUACCUCAUAGUAUAGUACUUUGGCAUCAAGGAACUAUUAAAGUCACAAUGGCAAAAGAUGAGCAUGCGUCCCAUUAGCUAGUUGGUAAGGUAACGGCUUACCAAGGCUACGAUGGGUAGGGGUCCUGAGAGGGAGAUCCCCCACACUGGUACUGAGACACGGACCAGACUCCUACGGGAGGCAGCAGUGAGGAAUAUUGGACAAUGGGCGCAAGCCUGAUCCAGCCAUGCCGCGUGCAGGAUGACGGUCCUAUGGAUUGUAAACUGCUUUAUACAGGAAGAAACACUCCGACGUGUCGGAGCUUGACGGUACUGUAAGAAUAAGGAUCGGCUAACUCCGUG
rnacentral:rRNA from 1 species